GUCCCUGCUGCGCAAUGGGUAGCACAUUGGACUUAUAAUCCAAAGAUCAUGGGUUCGAAUCCCACCUGGGAUG